UUUACAGGGUGAUGAACAUCGUAAUGAUCUCUUUUCCACUCACUGUUCAAGGCUUUCUGCUAUUCAAGGAGCAGUCAUUUUCUCUGUGGAGAGAUUCCAGGGCUGUACAUGGAGCUCCUUGAAGGGCAGCAGUCAGAGUUCUGGCCGGAUACCCGGAGACAACCUGCAAUUCUGUUGUGAUGAGCAAGUUUCAGCAGAAACAUCAGGGGAUGAAAUCACCCAGGGCUGUGCUUCCAGGGUUCUGAAGCAAAGGUAAGCGAACAGAAUCCCAUGGAAAUUUUCAUGAAAAGGAGCAGA
rnacentral:lncRNA from 1 species